rnacentral:rRNA from 1 species
UACAGAGGUCCCAAGCGUUGCUCGGAAUGACUGGGCGUAAAGGGCGCGUAGGCGGCUUACAUAGUCAGGCGUGAAAUUCCUGGGCUCAACCUGGGGGCUGCGUUUGAUACGUGUAGGCUUGAGUUCGGAAGAGGGUCGUGGAAUUCCCAGUGUAGAGGUGAAAUUCGUAGAUAUUGGGAAGAACACCGGUGGCGAAGGCGGUGACCUGGUCCGAAACUGACGCUGAGGCGCGAAAGCGUGGGGAGCAAACAGG